rnacentral:lncRNA from 1 species
UCAGAGGAAGGUCUCAGACUUGCUCCCGCAAUUCUUCAUUCUUGCUCAGAGUUGUAUAGACCGUACUUCUCAGACCUAGGGAUCCUGUUAACAUGAAGAUUCUUGUCUGACUUUCAGGUUAUAUCCAAAGUUAUAUCAGAAGUUAAAAAUAAUCAUAUGGUCUGACCACCUGGAUCACACAUGGAAAGUAAUUAGAAAGGGAAGAACUUCAUCUCUGAUAUUAUACUGGAUCAACUGAAUCACAAUAGAAGCUACUACGUUAUUGGAGACAGUCAGCAAGUUGCACUGUUUCUCUAGAACAAUCAUACCUGAAGAAAUAUGUAUAAACCAGCAUACAUUCACCAAUAGAUAGGAAUUCUUCAAUUUGGCUGUGUUACUGAGCAAUGAGAUUGUGUUUCAGAAAAUGUUUUGAGCUGCUUACAAGACCAAUUCUACUACCUACUUACUCAUGCAAAUUUCACAAUAUAUCCAUGAGACAGUAUUGA